rnacentral:rRNA from 1 species
GAUUAACGCUGGCGGCGUGCAUAACACAUGCAAGUCGAACGAUGAAACUCAUUAGAUUUCUUCGGAAUGAAAAUGAAUGGAUUAGUGGCGAACGGGUGAGUAACGCGUGAGUAACCUGCCUUACACAAGGGGAUAGCCUCUGGAAACGGAGAAUAAUACCCUAUGAAACCAGACAAUCGCAUGAUAAUCUGGUCAAAAUGUUUAGUGGUGUAAGAUGGACUUGCGUCUGAUUAGCUAGUUGGUGAGAUAAAAGCUCACCAAGGCAACGAUCAGUAGCCGGCUUGAGAGAGUGUACGGCCACAUUGGGACUGAGGCACGGCCCAGACUCCUACGGGAGGCAGCAGUGGGGAAUUUUGCACAAUGGGGGAAACCCUGAUGCAGCGACGCCGCGUGAUUUAGAAGGCCUUCGGGUUGUAAAAAUCUUUUGUAUAGGAAGAAAAUGACAGUACUAUACGAAUAAGGUCCGGCUAAUUACGUG